rnacentral:rRNA from 1 species
UACACAGUUUUGUAAACUGAAACCGCGGAUGGCUCAUUAUAACAGCUAUGAUUUGAGAGAUAUAAUCUAUUUGCCAUAAGAUAACUGUGGUAAUUCUAGAGCUAAUAUUUUAAAGAAUGCCGUGACUCACGAAGCGGUGGAUUUAUUAGAUCAAAACUAACCUGUCGCAAGAUAGAAUUUUGAUGACUCUGGAUAACUUAACUGAUCGUACAACAGUUGUUGACGACGAAUCUCUUGAAAUGGCUGACCUAUCAACUUUCGAUGGUAAGAUCAAAGCUUACCAUGGUUGUAACGGGUAACGGGGAAUCAGUGUUCGAUUCCGGAGAGGGAGCCUGAGAAACGGCUACCACAUCCACGGAAGGCAGCAGGCGCGAAAAUUACCCAAUACCGGUUCGGUGAGGUAGUGACAAUAAAUAACAAUAUGGGCCCUAGUGGUUUCAUAAUUGCAAUGAGAAUAUUUUAAAUACUUUAUCAAGUAUCAAUUGGAGGGCAAGUCUGGUGCCAGCAGCCGCGGUAAUUCCAGCUCCAAAAGCGUAUAUUAAAUUUGUUGCAGUUAAAAAGCUCGUAGUUGGAAUUGAGGAACAAUUCAUUAUCGGUCGUAAGAUUGUAUUUUGAAUUUUCCUUCCCGUCGUGUAUAUUGAUUAAUCACUUAAUUGGGAUUUUUUGGUGACCGACAAGUUUACUUUGAAAAAAUUAGAGUGCUUAACGCAGGCUUUUGCUUGUAUAUUGUUGCAUGGAAUAAUGAAAUAAGACUUCGGUUUUAUUUUGUUGGUUUUCGAAACUGAAGUAAUGAUUAAAAGAGACUGCCGGGGGCAUAUGUAUGCUGGUGCUAGAGGUGAAAUUCAUAGACCAUCA